UACGAAGGGGGGCUAGCGUUGUUCGGAAUUACUGGGCGUAAAGCGCACGUAGGCGGAUACUUAAGUCAGGGGUGAAAUCCCGGGGCUCAACCCCGGAACUACCUUUGAUACUGGGUAUCUCGAGUCCGGAAGAGGUGAGUGGAAUUCCGAGUGUAGAGGUGAAAUUCGUAGAUAUUCGGAGGAACACCAGUGGCGAAGGCGGCUCACUGGUCCGGUACUGACGCUGAGGUGCGAAAGCGUGGGGAGCAAACAGG
rnacentral:rRNA from 1 species